CGACGCUAUUUGCUCCCCGUCCCCGCUGACCCCGCGCCCCGUCCCGCUGCACUCAGGGGCGGGAUCCGCGCUCUGCCCCGGGCUGCGGCCGGCGGCGGCGGCGGCGGCGGCGGCGGGGGCGGUGACGUCACAGAGCCGCUCGCCAGCACAACGUUCCAUUGAGGCGAGCGCGUGCUCCGGCGAGCACAUGGGCAGAGCGGCCCGCACCGCUCCGCUCCGCGCCGCUCCGCUCGGCCCCGCCGCCGCCGGACCCCCGGCCGGGGAUUGGGAGGGGGGGGGCGCGGUCCCAGCCAUGUGCCUUCAACCACUCUGGAGAAAUGUUGGGAGGAGCUCUCAGUGCGAUCCUUUCCAUACCUUCCAAGGAUUUUUAGGAUCGUGGGAUUUAUGGACCUGCAAAAUCCUCUGGAGAACAUCAGCCACCGACAAAACCAUCUGGAAAUUCCUGCUGUCUUUUUGCCCUGUCUUUCCUGAGUCACCGAGUCUUGGGAAGGAAGCAUCUCUGCUCUGAGGAUUACAGCAAAUCAGUUGCUUGCCGUCCUUACUGGAAUACCUUCCCUUUCAGUUGCUCAGAACAUAGCAAUUACUGAAGAAGGCAGAAGGAUAUUUUUUCCCUUUCACCGAGCUUUUGCAGCGCAGCAGUGGCUGUGUCCGGCUAUGUAGAUGGUUUCCACAUUCUCUACCCAAUUUCUUUUCCUGAUGUUUAGGAACUGAAUCAUUCUGUUUCCCUACUAGCCUCUGCUAAAGGUCUCGCUUGACUGCAAAAAGGAGAAAGGAGGAGUGUGUGCAGGGAGUUCAGGUCCUGCUGUGGCUUCUUGGGAGGUGAGGAGGAAUAAAGAAGGUAGGAUAACCAAGGUCAGCACCUCACUUCAAGCUAUCAGUUGGACUGCUUGCGGGAUAUCUGCUAUGGACCUUCUGGCUGAUUUUUCUCUUGUAAGAUCCAGAGCGAUCAUUGCCUGUCGUGUACUCAAACUUGCUUUAUACAGAAGACAGCAGAAAGCCACAAAAUUGGAGCCUCAGUAAUUUCUUUACACCCACCAUUUGCCAGUGUUCUGGAUUGGAAACCAACUGCAACAGCUACUGAGAGUCUCAUUCCUCCUCCACGUGAACCUCCUUCCAGGGAACUGUGAAAAUUCCCACUUCCAUCUCCUUCGCAUACUGGGGUUUCAUGACCAUUAAAACCCGUUCCUGGAACCAUGGGAUGGCCCCACAGCAUGCUUUUGAUCCAGCUCAGAUGUGGGCUUCUCCGUGGGAUGAGUGCCCAGCAAGUCCAGCCAUCAAAACCUACCUAGACCCUAUGGAGCUGCAUGCUCUGACUCAUCCCUACUGAAAUGUCCCCACACCCUGCCCCAGGGCUGUGCAUUCCUGGGCACUGGUUGCCUGUGCCUCAUGAGGUCUUUCUACCAAACUCAUCACUUUGGCUUGGUUCUGCAUCACCACACUGAAACUGUGCAAACUGCAAGCCACCAAACUGUACCUGUGAGCCACCUCACGGGGCACAUGUCCCACAGUGGCUUGGCUGCUGGACCACUCAGGGUGGGAUGCGCAACACACUGCAAGGAAUUUAGUUCAGCACUGGUGCUGGUAGAGCACGGAGCUGGGAGAGCAGCAUCCCUAAUUCAGGUUGAUGCGUAGCUGUGUUGGAGCCCUUUCUGUAAACCACUUCAAAGGGCGUUUUGCUGUUUUGUCUCUUCAUUCACUGUUCUUUCCCACUUGUGCAUUUUGUGCAAUUUUAAAAACUUCUUGCAUGUAUUCCAUUCCUCUUAUCCUAGACCAAGUGGCUAUCUUCUCUUCUUUCUUAGCUGGCUUGUUCAUGCAGAGGCAAGGAGUAGCAAAACAUGUUUUUCCUUCUGAAAAGAGAGAAAAUAAAUGUUUGAUACCUGAUAAUAGUUUUUGUUGUUUGUCUGAGGCAGCUUGAAAUCCUUAGGGAAAAUCAGAAUUGUUCCAUUAGGAUGAGCUGCUUGCAAGCAUCCUGCCAAACUGGAACAGCCCUUCAAGCUGUACUGAAAUGAAUUCAAACCCUCCACAGAUAAGCACAACAUAGGGUAUAAUUUUACUUCAACAGAAGGAAAAAGUCCAGUACAUCAUCUCCUUUUAUUUCAGUGUCUGGUUGUCUUGACACCCAUGUACAUAUAGAAAUAUGCUUUCUUCACAUGUAUUUACUGAGGCACUCAAGCUAAAUGCAAUUGAGCCUGGUGGUUGCUGGGAUGGUUCAUCGUGCACGUCCAGGUGCCAUCUGUACACAGGGAAGCUGGCAAUGCAGUAAAUGGCUGUUUUCCCUUCUUUAAGAGAUGCAUGUUGGGGUUGACUUUUGAUGAUCACUUAGGAUCUUAAGCUUUUGUGCUUUUGCAUUUACCUUUGUGUUGGCUAAAUUUCAGUUCACUUACUUCCCUGUGAACAAUUCUUUUUUUGUUGAAUAAACUAUUCCUUGCAAACCAUAACACUGAUGUCAUUGUUGUUGUGGGGGUUUUGUUUGGGUUGGGUUGGGUUUUAAGCAGCUGUUGCCACCCAAUGGUGGAUUUCCCUUCAUUAUAUAUCUUCCAAAUACACCCUUUAACUGGUUUUCCACCAUUCUCACCUUGUGGAUUCCUAAAUAUUUUUAUUUAGUUUUGUGGAAAUGUGAGUUCCUCUCGAGGAAAUGGAAGCCUCCUGACAAUAAGCUUGCCUUUCUUAGUUGUUUUCCAUGAACUUGUAUGGUAUGCUAUACAGAUCUCUGUCAAGUUUCCAAAGCAAUUAGCUUGAAAGCCACCAUUCAGAUGGGGCAGUGUUGUAUACUUAAAUCUGUUCUUUCUAGUAGUUAUUGGUUAUGCCUGCUAGGAAAUUUCUGGAUCCUACUGGGUCCACAGUGGGUUUUUAACCCUCCCAUUCUCAUGGAACUGUUGUGGAAGGCAGAAUCAAAGUCUGCUUGGCAUUUGCCCAGAGCACGCACCUCAAACAUACAAGCUUGGGCAGAGUAUUGUGUUCAUGUGGCUCCAUGGCUUUUGUCUUAAGCUGAAUUGAGUCCAGUUGACCUUAGCACAAGUGGAGCAAGCCAAGGUCUGCCCAAACAUGUCUAGGUAGACGUGUCCCACUAGAGUUCCGUGAAAUUCCUGCUCCAUCUGCUUGUCUCAGUCCUAGAUCUUGCCUUUGGCUGCCCCUAGCACUGGACAUAUAGAACAUGCAUAGCUAUAAUCAAAGUGAUGCUGAAAAUGCCUGCAAUUUAAAAGUACUGUGUUAAUAAAACAGAAGGAGUUGUUGAUAUUCAACUAAGCAGAAUCCUGUUGCUUCUCAGAGAAAAGUGUUUUCAUCUUUGGAGCAACUCUGGCCAAAAGCUCUGGUAGUGACUUAAAGGGCAGGUGAUUACAACAUGAAAAACACAGUCUAGCCCAAGAAACACUUUUGUGUGUGUAUUUGCAAAAUUUUUUGUUUUGAGCCAUGAAAAAUGCUUCUGUCUGAGGCUCUAGUUGGGGCCUGGGGGAAAGCAAAGCAACUCCCCCUGCAUGGGGCAGGUUGGCAGUGAUGGGGCUGAGUCCCAGCAAGGAGCACUGAAAGCGGUAAGAAAGCUCUCACUUUAUUUCUAAGGUCUAGUGCGUUGUCUGUGGCUUGUGCCUGGCUUCUCUUGUUUCUGUGCGGACUCAAACCAAGUUCAAAUAAUGAUGAAAAACAAAAACAAAAAAGUGAUGCAACGCACGUCUCAUAUGACUAUUGGAUUUUCACUAGGCAUUGAGCUGGUGGCACCUGCAGUGAUGUGGGGCAGGAUCAUCCCCCUUAGCAUUGCAGAUGGACUGGCCAUGGAAGUCCUUUCUGAACGGACAUAGCCAAGGGAAAGUUAUAUCCACAAGGAAUGUGGGUUUUUUUGUUUUUUUUUUUUUGUUUUUUUUUUUUGUUGUUGUUGUUGUUUUUGGGGUUUUUUUUUGAAGAUGCCUGUACAUCUGCUGAGUAGCAUACAUAGAGCCUUGCAAAGCUACUUUGCUGAAUUGCCAAUGUCAGAGCUGCCUGAUGUGUGUUCCUGGCCAUAGGAUGCCUUCUGUGCUACCAAGAGUGAUGUAGAGAUGCUCAUAGUAACAGGUAGGAAUCUUCUGUGAUUUAACUGAGAACAAGCGAGACAUUUUAUAUGCCCAGAUGCAACAACAGUGCACCUGACUGAAGUAUAGACAGACUCUUACUGCACUGUGAAAUGCCAGCAGGUAGCUUGUGGUCUCCUGGCAACAUUUUGUGAGUGGGCUUUUGGGCCAUUUUCUGUGCUGUAAAUGUAGGAUUCAUACAUAGUACGAAGGGAUAUCAGACCUUGAUGGGUGUUAAACAUGCUAUUCACGCCACUGUGACAAGAGGAGCAUUAACUGUGCUCCAACAUUCACCUUGUACAAAUGGUGAAUCAAAGACCGUCCAUCCCCCAAGGAGGUCAUGGUCUGGAACACUGACAGAAGGAUGUGGUUGGAUACAUGCAGAUGGGGGAGUAAAAUGAAAAUGCCAGGAUGCUAUUGAUCAUCUUGUCAGAUGCAUCUCAGGACACCAGGACACUUACUGUGAGGUUUCUUGUAAAUGUCAUGGCAAAAAAGAGUUUUGAUGAAGUCAGUGAGAUUGUUUGGCAGAUAUCAGGGGAAUUCCUACCAGGCAAGAAAGGGAGCAGGAAAGGAGAAAGUAUUUCCUGUCAACAUGUUUUAUAUUGAUUAGCCCAGGAGACCUGCUUGCAAAGAAGUAGAUUUUGUAAGAGUGAGCAGCAGGUAACAGUGUAGGGUCUGAGUUAGGCCUUGAGAGUUAGGGAGCUCUUGUGUGAUGAGGUAGGGAAAGAGGGGAUCUUUGAAAAGGUGAAGUGGGAUAGAGAAAAUAGAUGUUACAUUUCUGAAGGAAGGAUUGUUGGGUUGACUGGGAUAUGGGAAAAUAAAAGCUUGGAUGGCAGCAGUGGAUUUGGAUGCUGGAUGAAAGGGCAUCCAAAAGAUGUCCCAAGACAUUAUUUUGAACUGAAGUAGAGAGGGAUGUUUGUGGGUCAUGUGUGAGGAGAAGAUCUGGGUGUGUGUUUUGAUGGAGGUGAAGGGAAGGUAGGAAAGAAUGGGACCAUGGUCAAAACCCACAGAAGGGAGACCUGAAGUUGGGCUGGGGAAUUAUGAAGAGAUAGGAAAGGAGCAAGGCAGGAUUCUUGGGAAUUCUGACCUUUGGUUAAAAACCCGCUGCAUUUUUCAGCAAAACCAUGAACAAACAAGUACUGUUAGUGCAUCCAGACCCAGACUGGAUCCUCUGUAGCUCAACCUAUAAAGAUAGUGAAAAGGUUUGAGUGUAACAUGAUCAGCAUCGGCUUAGUGGUGUGUGUGUGUGUGUCAUGGACCUGUGCUGCACAGCGAGGUGCCUCUGCAUGCUCCCAUUCCAUCGCUGCACACUUGUGAUGGGAUCCUAUUCCCAUAAAAUAGUCAUGUGCUGACGUCUCCUCCUGGUUACACGAGCUGGCUCUGGAAAACCUCAGCUCCUAGAUUACAAACAUAGCAGGGCUCUGUCUGCAAAGGUGUAAGGUUACAAAACACACACACACUCACGCAGCUUAACCGAAACCGCCUCAUUUUUAGCAGUUGUGAGGGUUUAUUCACUGCAGGGCUGUGGAGGAAUGCAGGAAUGUGAGUGGCGUUAAACCUAUUCAUUUGGAGGGGGA
ensembl:lncRNA